rnacentral:rRNA from 1 species
UACGUAGGGACCAAGCGUUGUCCGGAAUCAUUGGGCGUAAAGAGCGUGUAGGCGGCUUGUUAAGUCUUGCGUGAAAUCUCGGGGCUCAACCCCGAGCGGUCGUGAGAAACUGGCAGGCUAGAGUGCGGGAGAGGAGAGUGGAAUUCCUGGUGUAGCGGUGAAAUGCGUAGAUAUCUGGAGGAAUACCGGUGGCGAAGGCGGCAUCCUGGACCGAGAUUGACGCUGAUGAGCGAAAGCUAGGGGAGCAAACGGG